UGCGUAGGCGGACUAAUAAGUCAGUGGUGAAAUCUCCCGGCUCAACCGGGAAACUGCCAUUGAUACUGUUAGUCUUGAGUUCGGUUGAGGUAGGCGGAAUGUGUAAUGUAGCGGUGAAAUGCUUAGAUAUUACACAGAACACCAAUUGCGUAGGCAGCUUACUAGACCGACACUGACGCUGAGGCACGAAAGCGUGGGUAGCGAACAGGAUUAGAUACCCUGGUAGUCC
rnacentral:rRNA from 1 species